rnacentral:rRNA from 1 species
AACGCGAAGAACCUUACCUACUCUUGACAUCCAGAGAAUUUGGCGGAGACGCUAGAGUGCCUUCGGGAGCUCUGAGACAGGUGCUGCAUGGCUGUCGUCAGCUCGUGUUGUGAAAUGUUGGGUUAAGUCCCGCAACGAGCGCAACCCUUAUCCUUGUUUGCCAGCGAGUAAUGUCGGGAACUCCAGGGAGACUGCCGGUGAUAAACCGGAGGAAGGUGGGGACGACGUCAAGUCAUCAUGGCCCUUACGAGUAGGGCUACACACGUGCUACAAUGGCGCAUACAGAGGGCGGCGAGCUAGCGAUAGUGAGCGAAUCCCAAAAAGUGCGUCGUAGUCCGGAUUGGAGUCUGCAACUCGACUCCAUGAAGUCGGAAUCGCUAGUAAUCGUGGAUCAGAAUGCCACGGUGAAUACGUUCCCGGGCCUUGUACACACCG